rnacentral:rRNA from 1 species
AGAGUUUGAUCAUGGCUCAGGACAAACGCUGGCGGCGUGCCUAACACAUGCAAGUCGAACGGAGUUACGGGAGCUUGCUCCUGUAACUUAGUGGCGGACGGGUGAGUAACGCGUGAGGAACCUGCCUUUCAGUGGGGGACAACAGUUGGAAACGACUGCUAAUACCGCAUGAAAUUCUUCGGGGGCAUCCCUGAGGAAUCAAAGAUUUAUCGCUGAAAGAUGGCCUCGCGUCUGAUUAGCUAGUUGGUGAGGUAACGGCCCACCAAGGCGACGAUCAGUAGCCGGACUGAGAGGUUGAACGGCCACAUUGGGACUGAGAUACGGCCCAGACUCCUACGGGAGGCAGCAGUGGGGAAUAUUGGGCAAUGGGGGCAACCCUGACCCAGCAACGCCGCGUGAAGGAAGAAGGCUUUCGGGUUGUAAACUUCUUUUACCAGGGACGAAGAACGUGACGGUACCUGGAGAAAAAGCUACGGCUAACUACGUGCCAGCAGCCGCGGUAAU